UACGAAGGGGGCUAGCGUUGUUCGGAUUUACUGGGCGUAAAGCGCACGUAGGCGGAUUGGUCAGUUAGAGGUGAAAUCCCGGAGCUCAACUCCGGAACUGCCUUUAAUACUGCCAGUCUAGAGUCCGGAAGAGGUAAGUGGAACUCCUAGUGUAGAGGUGGAAUUCGUAGAUAUUAGGAAGAACACCAGUGGCGAAGGCGGCAUACUGGCCCAUUACUGACGCUGAGGCUCGAAAGCGUGGGGAGCAAACAGG
rnacentral:rRNA from 1 species